GCAAAUCUAGCGCAGCAAGCGUUCCUGUAUUGCCAUCGAAAGGCGACUUGCGGUUCUCCAUGACGAAUCAAAGAGAGAGUCAGCCCCUGUACGGGUGCUGUUAUCUUCAGUGACUCUAAGGUUAGAUGCGUUAGGUUUGCC
rnacentral:tRNA from 1 species